UACGUAGGCAGCGAGCGUUGUUCGGAUUUACUGGGCGUAAAGGGUGUGUAGGCGGUUCUUUAAGUUUGGUGUGAAAUCUCCCGGCUCAACCGGGAGGGUGCGCCGAAUACUGAGGGACUAGAGUGCGGGAGAGGAAAGUGGAAUUCCUGGUGUAGCGGUGAAAUGCGUAGAUAUCAGGAGGAACACCGGUGGUGUAGACGGCUUUCUGGACCGUAACUGACGCUGAGACACGAAAGCGUGGGUAGCAAACAGG
rnacentral:rRNA from 1 species